UAGAGUCACUUGGAAGGAGUCUCAAUGGGGCUCUCUAGGUCAGAUUGGCCUGAAGGCGUGGCUAUGGAAGACUAUCUCUAUCACAUUAACUGAUGCUGGAAGACCCUGCCUGAAACCUCUCUUCCACAAUGAUUCCUGAGCCUUGGAAGGAGAUAGUAUGGAGUAUAUGCUCCAUUUAGGGUUGUGCAUUCCGCUUCUCUGCAUCUGGACCAGCUGUGGGUUUCUGUGCUAAUCACCACCUACCACAAAUAGAAGUUUCUCUAAUGAGGGCUGAAAAAAUGCAUUCAUCUAUGUCUACAAUGGACAAGAUCUCUGGAAGUUAAUCAUGUCAGAUCCAUGGUCAAGACCAAAGGGAGAAGAAAUGUGUUCUUGCUUGCCUAGCUCAUAUUUUUUCCACUCUUGCACAGUUCAGUCUGUGCCUCUCACAGUAGGCGGAGUACUAAGAAAAGCCCUGGACAAGCCUGUAGACCAAGUCAGUGCUUCCAAGCCCUCCCUGAGCUCUCUUUCCAGCUUGUGGAAAAGCUGACAAUUAAGGCUAACCAUUACAAGUAUCUUCUGUCUAAUACAUGAAAGCCAUACAUCAC